GACGAACGCUGGCGGCGUGCUUAACACAUGCAAGUCGAACGGAAAGGCCCCUUUGGGGGUACUCGAGUGGCGAACGGGUGAGUAUCACGUGAGUAACCUGCCCUUGACUUCGGGAUAACUUCAGGAAACUGGGGCUAAUACCGGAUAGGAAUCCUUGCUGCAUGGUGGGGGUUGGAAAGCUUCGGCGGUUUUGGAUGGACUCGCGGCUUAUCAGCUUGUUGGUGGGGUAGUGGCUUACCAAGGCUUUGACGGGUAGCCGGCCUGAGAGGGCGACCGGCCACAUUGGGACUGAGAUACGGCCCAGACUCCUACGGGAGGCAGCAGUGGGGAAUAUUGCACAAGGGGCGGAAGCCUGAUGCAGCAACGCCGCGGGCGGGAUGACGGCCUUCGGGUUGUAAACCGCUUUCAGCAGGGGCGAAGCUUGUGGUGACGGUACCUGCAGAAGAAGCACCGGCUAACUACGUG
rnacentral:rRNA from 1 species